rnacentral:misc_RNA from 1 species
GAAGUGCGAUAAGCAAUGCGAAUUGCAGAACCGUGAGUCAUCAGAUUUUUGAACGCAACUGGCGCCGGUUGGCUCUCCAACCGGCAUGCUUGUUUCAGUGUCUCUUUAUCUCAUCACCCAUAUCAUAAUGCGAGAGAUACCCUCUCUUGCUAAGCUCGAAAGCACUCUGCGCUCUGCGAGCGGCUUCGACUUGUUCGAGGGUCGCACUCAAUGCAGCCGUCACAUUGCUCACAAUGUGAACUCAUUGAGAGCUGAGGCAGUGUAGCGUAAGCUACCAGUGCUUAGUCACACAAACUUUACUUGCAUCUGAAAUCAAGCAGGAUCACCCGCUGAACUUAAGC